rnacentral:rRNA from 1 species
CCUACGGGUGGCAGCAGUGGGGAAUAUUGCACAAUGGGGGAAACCCUGAUGCAGCAACGCCGCGUGAGUGAGGAAGUAUUUCGGUAUGUAAAGCUCUAUCAGCAGGGAAUAGAAAAGAAGGUACCUGAAAAAGAAGCCCCGGCUAACUACGUGCCAGCAGCCGCGGUAAUACGUAGGGGGCAAGCGUUAUCCGGAUUUACUGGGUGUAAAGGGAGCGUAGACGGAAGAACAAGUUGGUUGUGAAAUCCCUCGGCUCAACUGAGGAACUGCAACCAAAACUAUUCUCAUUGAGUGUCGGAGAGGAAAGUGGAAUUCCUAGUGUAGCGGUGAAAUGCGUAGAUAUUAGGAGGAACACCAGUGGCGAAGGCGACUUUCUGGACGAUAACUGACGUUGAGGCACGAAAGUGUGGGGAGCAAACAGGAUUAGAUACCCUAGUAGUC